UGCCACCAUGAAGGCUCCUCAGCGACCCAACACAUUAACCUGACACUCCCUCAUCAUGGCUCAUCAGACUGACCUCAACAAGGUGGGAAGAGAAGCAUUCGGCUUGCUCGAGGAGUACCUGCGCAGGAGAGGACCACCACCACCACCACCGCGUAGCAACACACACCAGUACUACAACUACGCUCCCCCAAAGAACGUGCUGCACAACGUCAGAGAUCCUAAGGAAUUUGAUGGAGUUCUAAUUGUCACCCGCAGGGUUCCCUGGCGAAACCAUGAUACUUACGGUACGUACCUAAGAAAGAUGGAGGAGCUCCAGUAUAGGUAGGUAGCUUCAGCGAGGAAGUGAUCAGCAUGUAUGGUGUGCUAAAAGCAGUGUACCGCUCUUCAGAGAAUGCUCAAAUGAAGUGUAAUAAAUAAAUACUACUUUUAUGAUAUGUAAAGACCAUUUUAGCUUCUGGUAAAUGCAUAUAAUUAAUCUUAUUUAA